GUCCCGGGGCCGCUGAGCCGCAGCCUCCCCGCAGCCGGCGAGCAGCAGCAGCAGCAGCCCCGCCAGGAGGCCGCGCAGCGCCCGCGGCCGCAUCUCCCGCUUGUCCCGCCCGGCGCGGCCCCGCAGCGCGGCCGGGCCCCGCCGCCUCGGUCCGGCCGCCGGAAGCGGAAGCGGCCCGGGCUGCCCGCCCCGCGGGGAGACUCCAUGGAUUUCGUUGGGACCCGCCCCGCUGGGGGUUCCGUCGAUUUCAUUGGAGAUAUCUUUUUUCCGGGAGCGGCCAAUGUCGCUCAGGGGUUACUUGGAAUGUAACCGGAUUUAAGGGAGAUUUUAUUUUUUUUUAACUGAUCCCCCUAUUCUAGCCUAAUUCUGUCUACGUGCGAAACAAUGGAAAUUUUAUAACUGAGUUAAAUGAAAGCAGGAAAAUUCCCAGCGUGACCCUUCCCGAGGCUGUCUGGCGGGAGCAUUCCUAGCGCCAGAGGCUGUCACUGCUGGGACCGAAGCCCCUUGACGGCGGGCGGUUCCACUGAUCAGGUUGGAGCCCCUUUGGCUCUCUCCAGAUGCCCGAAACCAGCAUACAAAGGAAUACUCCCUAGUACUCACAAAGACUCUUAAAGAGUCCUCCUUUGUACACGGUUUGCGGGCAUCAUUCCCCAUCUAAAUCCCACACGGUCGGACCAGGUUUCCUCCCCGCUUCGAUGCCGGGUAUCCCAUGGCAGAGUCCCAAAAUCUCGUUCAUUCGCGAGUCACGCGGAAGCAGCCUGAGCUGGUGCCUUCGAUGAAGGACCCCUCAGCAAAGGAACUGCCUUUUAUCCCCUUAAAGUCCUCUCCCUCUCGAGUCCUCUGCUACCGAUGUGUCUCCCUGUGUCCAUCCACCUGCUGCCACCGCCGGUCUCCGUGCGCUUCGUGCUCCCACCCGCAGCUUGACCUGCAUCUCGCACUGCAGCCGCAAACCCUGCGGCCUGCACCAGAUGUAUUCCUCGACAACGAGCAAAAGGAAGAGUUGGAAAAGGGCCUGAAGGCUUGGAAUCCAGUUUUUUCUUCAGAUGUGUAAACUACAACAAGGCUUUCAGGGAUCCCAUGUGCAUAGAGAAGGUGAAAUCCACAUUACCAGUGAGCUCUUUCUCAUUUGUCACUAUGUUGAAGGGAAUGGAUAAAAUGCCAGAGCAGCAAAGAAGCUUUGUAUAGAAAUAUUAUUGCAGUUGAAGUAAUAACCAGAUUUAUUUUUUUUAUGAGCAGACUUGUUAUCACAGAGGCCUUAAACACAGAGGCCUGGUGUAUCAAUCAUAUUGGGUCAUAUAGAAUCACAUAUAGGUAAUGUCAACAGUGAUUAGUUAAUUUAUUAACAAGCUAACAAGUUUAGCUGUUAGUUAACUUUGAAAACAGAUUCAAGGGGAAUGUGGAAACUGUAAAACUGAUUUAAAUAGCAUGUGAGCCUUUAAACUAUCAUCAGUAGUACAUCUUCUCUUGAAAAAAUAUAGUCCUUUUAAUGGGAAUAGACUUUCAGAUUCUUUGAACAACAGUUUUUGCUGAAGGUACUGGAGGGAUGGAGCAUGUGAAUAAACUUUCUUGAUAGCUUUUACCAUGGUUUAUAACUCUGAUAGGCUUGACUGAUUCAGGUCCUGCCACUCCCAAUCAAGCUACUUCUACCCCAUGAAUUCCCUUGAGGUAUAUUUUCUCUUGACAAGUUCAAGCAACUUCCUUCCAGCACAGUGGUUUAUGACAGAGGAAAGUGUCAUAUUCAAAAGUCAAGGAGGAAUACUGUUUAGAAUGUCAGUCAUUGAUGUUAAACUGUCCUAAAGAAGUAUCCAUGACUCAUGGACUGUGUAAAAUGUAACAGUGCUGAGUUGCUCACUCAGGGUGAUGUGGCAACAUACUGCAUGUCAGAUGCAAAGCAUGAGGGAAAAAGAAAAGAGUAUUGCUAGAGCAAUUUGUGUUCCUUAUUUUGAAACAAAAAUAGUUAAUAAAGUCCUUGUAUAUUUGU